GACGAACGCUGGCGGCGUGCUUAACACAUGCAAGUCGAACGCUGAAGCUUGGUGCUUGCACUGGGUGGAUGAGUGGCGAACGGGUGAGUAAUACGUGAGUAACCUGCCCUUGACUCUGGGAUAAGCCUGGGAAACUGGGUCUAAUACUGGAUACGACAUGUCACCGCAUGGUGGUGUGUGGAAAGGGUUUUACUGGUUUUGGAUGGGCUCACGGCCUAUCAGCUUGUUGGUGGGGUAAUGGCUCACCAAGGCGACGACGGGUAGCCGGCCUGAGAGGGUGACCGGCCACACUGGGACUGAGACACGGCCCAGACUCCUACGGGAGGCAGCAGUGGGGAAUAUUGCACAAUGGGCGGAAGCCUGAUGCAGCGACGCCGCGUGAGGGAUGACGGCCUUCGGGUUGUAAACCUCUUUCAGCACGGAAGAAGCGAAAGUGACGGUACGUGGAGAAGAAGCGCCGGCUAACUACGUG
rnacentral:rRNA from 1 species